GACGAACGCUGGCGGCGUGCUUAACACAUGCAAGUCGAACGGAAAGGCCCUGCUUUUGUGGGGUGCUCGAGUGGCGAACGGGUGAGUAACACGUGAGUAACCUGCCCUUGACUUUGGGAUAACUUCAGGAAACUGGGGCUAAUACCGGAUAGGAGCUCCUGCUGCAUGGUGGGGGUUGGAAAGUUUCGGCGGUUGGGGAUGGACUCGCGGCUUAUCAGCUUGUUGGUGGGGUAGUGGCUUACCAAGGCUUUGACGGGUAGCCGGCCUGAGAGGGUGACCGGCCACAUUGGGCCUGAGAGACGGCCCAGACUCCUACGGGAGGCAGAAGUGGGGAAUAUUGCACAAUGGGCGGAAGCCUGAUGCAGCAACGCCGCGUGCGGGAUGACGGCCUUCGGGUUGUAAGCCGCUUUCGCCUGUGACGAAGCGUGAGUGACGGUAAUGGGUAAAGAAGCACCGGCUAACUACGUG
rnacentral:rRNA from 1 species